AUGCAAGUCGAGGGGUAACGGAAGUAGCUUGCUACUAGACGACGACCGGCGCACGGGUGAGUAACGCGUAUGUAAUCUGCCUUGUACAGAGGGAUAGCCCAGAGAAAUUUGGAUUAAUACCUCAUAGUAUUACUGGAUCGCAUGAUUUGGUAAUUAAAGCUCCGGCGGUACAAGAUGAACAUGCGUGACAUUAGCUAGUUGGUAAGGUAACGGCUUACCAAGGCUACGAUGUCUAGGGGUUCUGAGAGGAUGAUCCCCCACACUGGUACUGAGACACGGACCAGACUCCUACGGGAGGCAGCAGUGAGGAAUAUUGGUCAAUGGACGCAAGUCUGAACCAGCCAUCCCGCGUGAAGGAUGACUGCCCUAUGGGUUGUAAACUUCUUUUAUAUGCAAAUAAACCUACUUUCGUGAAAGUAGCUGAAGGUAGCAUAUGAAUAAACACCGGCUAACUCCGUGCCAGCA
rnacentral:rRNA from 1 species